AUGGUUCUUCUACCACCAGAUGCUACUGAGGCUAAACUGGUUAGACUGAGUAAAAAUAUCUAUGGGGAAAACUGUCUUUCAGAAUCCUACUUUGAACUAGAGAAAUCCAUUCUCUUGAGGCUGUCUGCUGUGGAGAAGUUGGCCUUACCAAUCUGCCUUUGGAGUUCAAGUUAUACAGGAUCUGCAAGGCUACCUGUGACUGAAUGGUUGGUUGGUCAUUACAAAGUUUUUCAGGAGCUCCUGAAAGAUUACUGCAUAAGCAAGGGAGGAUGGAGACCAGACCUCUGGCUACUGUUGCUGCCACCACCACAGCCACCACUUUCAUCCUUAUGAACCCCCUAUUUACUGCACACUCUCUAUAUGCCAGGUACCAGGCUCCACACCUGUGAAAUAGGGGACUGUUAUUUCCCCUAUUUUAUAAAAGAGGAGCUGAGGCUCAGAGAGAUUAUGUUACUUGCCCAAGAUCACAUAGCUAGUAAGUGGCAGAGAUGAGUUUCUGUCUGAGUCCAGCUUACACCCUAACUGAUAUUCUUGAAAAUCAGGCUGGAGAGAAAAUGAUAAGAUGUGAGAAUUUUGGUGCUAUGAUUUGAAUUUUCCUUCAAAAGCUCAUGUUGAAACUUAAUCCCAAAUGUAACAAUACUAAUAGGUGGGGUCUUUAACAUGGAGUCCCAGAAUUGGAUCAUGAGGGCUCUGCCCUAAUGAAUGAAUUACUCCAUUCAUGAUUAAUGGAUUAAUGGAUCAUCAUGGGAGUGGAACAGUGGCUUUAUAAGAAGAAGAAGAGAGACCUGAGGUAGAACACUCAGCGCCCUUGCCAUGUGAUGCUCUGUACUGCCUUGGGACUCUGCAGAGGCUCUCUACUAGCAAGAAGGUCCUCACCAGAUGCAGCCCCUUGACUUUGGCCUUCUUAGCUUCUACAACUGUAAUAAAUAAUUUUUUCUUUAUAAAUUACCCAGUUUUGGGUGUUCUAUUAUAAGCAAUGAAAACCAGACAAAUACAUUGAGUUAUAAUUAUGAUAUUUAAGAUGGAGGAAAAUGAACAUGGAAAACACUAGAGAAAUGAAUGCUAAACUAGAGCACAAGCAUUGGGACUGUGAAAAAAAGAGAUAUUUGAAAUAUUUUAAAGAUAUGGAAUUUAAAAGAUUAUGAAACAGAUAAAGUAUAAGAGAAAGAGAGAAAAUGAAAAAUUAUCCCAAGAUUGCAAACCCUUAGUAUUGUUGAAACACUCAGAGCCAGGGAAAAAAGUCAAAAGGAAGAGCUGGCUUGUAG
rnacentral:lncRNA from 1 species